rnacentral:rRNA from 1 species
GGUUAAGUGACUAAGCGUACACGGUGGAUGCCUGGGCAGUCAGAGGCGAUGAAGGACGUACUAACUUGCGAUAAGCGCAGAUAGGCAGUAAGAGCCGUUUGAGUCUG